rnacentral:antisense_RNA from 1 species
CUUCCCCUCCCAGAGCCCAGGAAUAAAAAGCCUUUGAAUACUAGAAGAAAAGCACCUAGACCUAACAAGAUUAAGUGAAUACCUAAAAUUAUGGUCAUUUUAUAUUGAUCUUUCCA